UACGUAGGGGGCAAGCGUUGUCCGGAAUUAUUGGGCGUAAAGAGCGCGUAGGCGGUCCGAUAAGUCGGCUGUGAAAGUCAGGGGCUCAACCCUUGAAAGCCGGUUGAUACUGUCGGGCUAGAGUCCGGAAGAGGCGAGUGGAAUUCCUGGUGUAGCGGUGAAAUGCGCAGAUAUCAGGAGGAACACCGGUGGCGAAGGCGGGUCUCUGGGACGUGACUGACGCUGAGACGCGAAAGCGUGGGGAGCAAACAGG
rnacentral:rRNA from 1 species